CCCUUAGACGUUCUGGGCCGCACGCGCGCUACACUGACCAGUGCAACAAGCAUCCGUCCUUGGCCGACAGGCCCGGGCAAUCUUUGAACGCUGGUCGUGAUGGGGAUAGACUUUUGCAAUUUUUGGUCUUCAACGAGGAAUUCCUAGUAAACGAAAGUCAUCAACUUGCAUUGAUUACGUCCCUGCCCUUUGUACACACCGCCCGUCGCACCUACCGAUUGAAUGGUCCGGUGAAGCCUCCGGAUUGGCGCGCACCUCGGUGCCGCCGAGAAGUUGGCUAAACCUUACCAUUUAGAGGAAGGUGAAGUCGUAACA
rnacentral:rRNA from 1 species